GGGCCCACGGGCGGUGUAGGCCAACAGUGGAGUGGGCCAGGCUCGAUAAUGGAGCAGAUACGCAGCCCAGCAUGCGGGCAUGCACGGGCCAGCCUAGCGGACGCUCGAGCGCGCAACCCACAUGCGAGCGCAGCCCAAACCACGUGGCUUACCGCGGUCCACAGGCGAGGCGGUCCAUGUGGGAGUGCGUGGACCAGCAAGGCAUUUCUUGCCUGAUUUCUCACGGUUCAUCAUGGAUCGAUGUUGGUUUUCCGCUAGUUUCUCAUGGUUUAUGGGUGUUCUCAUGAACUGAUGCA
rnacentral:lncRNA from 1 species